rnacentral:misc_RNA from 1 species
UCACCCUUCAAGCCCCCGGGCUUAGUGUUGGACGGUUUGGUUUUGGUGACAAGACCCCUUCUAAAAUUAAUGACGGCGGCCUGUUCGACCCCCGGUACACUGAGCUUUUUAACUGAGCACGUAUCGGUUGAAGGGUAGGCAGGACCCGGUCUUCUUCCUUAACCGGAAACUCUUUCCAA